GUUCCAAAAUGUGCCUGGUUUGCUAGAAAAGCAGCGAAAGGCGAAAAAACUUGGACUGUUUACCGUGUGCAGGGUUCAAACCGCCAAAACCGAACAGGAAAAGGAACACAGAAAGCAACUCCGAUCAUUUUUACUUUCUGUCCGCGACGAAUCGCAAGGCGAUAAUAUUGCAAAUAUGUUACACAGAGAAAUGGCAGCAAUAUGUGAAGCUCAUUUUGAUGAAAGUGACAUAGACAGAUCCAAGAAAGUUAAAAAAUUAAGAGUUGGAGCUUUACCUUGUUAUAACUUACCUAAGGAUAGCUCAUUUUUUUAUUGUAGGUGCCACUGCCAUGCACCAUCUUUUAUUAAAAAUCUGACACUUUUCUGCAACUGCUGUUUCAAUGGUGUUGUAAUAUGAAUUCCUUUUACAAUAUAUAUACCUAAAAUUACAGCCAAGCAACAUCAGUA